UGCAAAUUUUCAGAGUAUAGACGUAAGAAGAAGAGAUGUUCUCAAAUUCCCAACAGACUACUAAAUUCCACACGGACGUUUACGGGGAUUGGUCGUUAUCAUCUGAUUUUGACAUAUAUAUGGAUUUUGAUGAAUUUUUGUGGUUAUGUAUAUUAAGUAUAUUUUUUGUCUGUCUGAUUGACACUUUCUUGUUUUUGAAAAAUUUGUUCAAGAAUGGAAAUAUGCAGACGUGGAAAGAUAUGCAGAAAAUUGAGACAAGUUAUGUAAGGUCUAGAACAGUUCACACAAAGAAACAAGAUGAUUUAUACUAUGAGUAUGGGUAGUUUUUAAUCAAUGUCAUGCUAUGAGUGUAACAGAAGUAACAUAAUAAUAUGCAAGGAAUAUAGAUGCUAGGAGAGUAUAUUAUAUUUAUUGAUGUGGAUAUAAGCCCAACUAUAAAGUUAGGACAGAGAAACCUGUUCUAUUAAUUGUCCCUCCAGACUGAUUUGCAAACUGAGAGAUCAAGGACAGGUUUCUGUCAGUUAUGUAUUGGAAAACACAUGCUGGACAUAAAGAAUUAAGAACCAUGCAUAUGUCAAAAAUAGAAGAAAAAAUUGUUGUAGAGAAAUUAUGACUGAGGUGCCACCCAGUAGAAUUUUAUAAGAUUCAAGAAUGUGUAGAUACAUGAGCAAUUUCAGAUGAUGCUGCAAGGUGUUUGGGAGAAAAUAAAAAGAAACUGAGUAAACAUUGAAUUUGAUAUUAAGAUAGUUUUUUAGCUCACAAAUAUUUUUUGUUUUGUAUCUGUAUUAAAUUUUUAUUAUACAGUAGGUACUUAGCACCCCAAUUAUCCGUACUCCUUGGGACCGGAUUGUGGCACGGGUAAUUGAAAAGCACAGAUAAUCCGAUCAUUAAUUUCUUAUAUAUGAUUCAUAUAAGAAUAUUUCAUAAGAAUUUCUUAUACAUGAUAUGUACUUACAGCUGGUUCCAAAAAAAACUGAUACGACUCUUAAAGCGUAUUUUGUAGAAAAUUGAGCAGUGUACUUUCUUCUUCUUCUUUUUGUUUUUGGUCUCGCUGCAAGGCAAUUACCAGCACGAUUUAUUAUAGGCGACCUUGAUGUAGUGUGGCUCUAAGCCAUAUCAAAAUCGCUAACUAUGUUCUUGUAAAAAGCUUUUGAUGGGGUGUGAUAUAAUGAAUAUGAGUUUUAUUAUAUUUUGAAGGAUAAAUACUUAUUAUUUACAUACUGUCACUGUUACUGCCAAAUCUUAAAAUUGGUCAGAUAACUUCAACCUCAAAAAAUGGCUGUUUGUUUGUUUAUUUUAUUAUUUGUCUGUCAUAAUAAAUAUAAUAUGUCAGACCAGUCAUACACUGCUCAAAAUGAUCAAAUCUUACUAAGAGUCGUAUCAGUUUUUUUAGGAACCAGCUGUACCUAUCAUAAAAAGAUAACAGAAAACAUAAAUCUUUCAUUAUGAGUCUCCUUUUCUGCAUAUAGAGUUUCUGUCGAGUGAUUAAAAUGACGCUAUUUUGAUAAAACCUCAAAAAUUCAAUUUGAGUAAUAGAAAAUCAUAGCCCAGAUAAUCCACAGUCCGGAUAAUCUGCACACGGAUCGGGGUUCUACUGUAGUUGUAUAGGCUAAUUUACAAGGAUGUUAGUUUGUUUUUAUAUAUUUUACUUGAUUCAUAAUAUUGUGAAAUUUUUUAUAAGAUUAUAUUUACAUAUCGUCGCCUCAAAGCAACAGUAGGAUAUGUACAUAUCCUACUGUUGCACUAGUGCACCGAUCAACCAGUUAAGUCAUAAGGGACCGUUGCGAUGUGUAUGGUAUAUACGCAUAUACAGUGCACUAGUGCAAUAGUAGGAUAUGUACAUAUCCUACUGUUGCUUUGAGGCGACGAUAUGUAUGCAUACUUAAUUUAGGUCUGAAUUUUAAAGAAUUGUUAAGUAAUGAUGUUAUUUUAUAGACAGCAUUAUAAUAUACUAGAGUUGUACUUUUAAAAUCAAAAUAUACUGGGUCCCAGGCGGGGUUUAAAGGGGUUUUACCUUCACCAUUGCACCAAUAAGAGCCUCCCCUCCUUUGAUUUCCCAGAUUUUUAAUAAAGAAUAAAAAAUUUGAAACAUUA